rnacentral:lncRNA from 1 species
CCCCUGAAUCUCCGCAGCGCCGUCGCCAGCACCUCCUCCCCGAGCCUGAGCAGGGGCCUCUCUGUGACAGGUCCGCGUCUCACAGUCCAGAGUCUGGAUUCACGUCGUGUCCAAGAGGGACCCCCAGAGGACCGCCCGCGGGCGGUCAGGCUGGGGUUUUGGAAGGGCCGCUCUGCAGCCGUCUGGAGGCAGGGAGACGACGCAGGAGACGGGUACAGGAGUCCAGGGAGGGACGGCAAGGGCCUGCACCGUGGCAGGGAGAGACGCGUGUGCCCUGGGGCCCCGGGGGCGGUGACAGUGAUGACGUAUGAGGAGGGAAGCAAGGAGCCAGAGCAGACGGGAAGGCGGAGGCGAGUACUCACAGCCAGCCAGCACGCAACGACCUUGGCCCUUCCUCACCAGGAGGUUUGCCCAGCAGACGCCCUGGAUUCUUGCAAAGCUUACGCGUACAGAAAGGAGGGGCCUACGGUGGACACGCCCCAGCUGUUACUCCGGUGCAGAGCAGGGUCCUCUCCUGAUACUGGGGAAACAGGCUGUGCUUUCCGAGAGAAAAGCCUGGAGAGCCCUGAGGAGUCGCACGGCACAUGCGGACACGCUGCCCUCGGCGCAGGCACUGCACGUGGUGUGGACUAUAGCCAUGGCUCCCUCACCGCCCCAGCGCCCACACUGCGCUGCACACAGCUACGUCUACCGACGUCGAGUGUUAGUUUUCACAGCAACCCUAGGAAAUACAGCUUCUCCAGAUUCUAGAGGUGGAUGGUCAAGAUGA